rnacentral:sRNA from 1 species
AUCUACCUUACCAGUCACGAUGAGCCUC